rnacentral:rRNA from 2 species
UGGGGAAUAUUGCACAAUGGGGGAAACCCUGAUGCAGCGAUGCCGCGUGAGGGAAGAAGGUUUUCGGAUUGUAAACCUCUGUCGUCAGGGACGAUGAUGACGGUACCUGACAAGGAAGCUCCGGCUAACUACGUGCCAGCAGCCGCGGUAAUACGUAGGGAGCGAGCGUUGUCCGGAAUUACUGGGUGUAAAGGGAGCGUAGGCGGGAUGGCAAGUCAGAUGUGAAAACUAUGGGCUCAACCUGUAGACUGCAUUUGAAACUGCUGUUCUUGAGUGAAGUAGAGGCAGGCGGAAUUCCUAGUGUAGCGGUGAAAUGCGUAGAUAUUAGGAGGAACAUCAGUGGCGAAGGCGGCCUGCUGGGCUUUUACUGACGCUGAGGCUCGAAAGCGUGGGGAGCAAACAGG